AUGGUAGGAUAGAGGCCUACCAUGGUGGUAACGGGUAACGGGGUGUUAGGGCACGACACCGGAGAGGGAGCCUGAGAAACGGCUACCACAUCCAAGGAAGGCAGCAGGCGCGCAAAUUACCCAAUCCCGACACGGGGAGGUAGUGACAAUAAAUAACAAUACAGGGUUCUUUGAAUCUUGUAAUUGGAAUGAGUACAAUUUAAAUCUCUUAACGAGGAACAAUUGGAGGGCAAGUCUGGUGCCAGCAGCCGCGGUAAUUCCAGCUCCAAUAGCGUAUAUUAAAGUUGUUGCAGUUAAAAAGCUCGUAGUUGAAUUUCGGGAUCAAUACGUCGGUCGUGCUUUCGGGUACGUACUGGCGUCAUUGGUUUCUCCUUUCUGACGAACCAUGAUGUCAUUAAUUUGGUGUUAUGGGGAGUUAGGACUGUUACUUUGAAAAAAUUAGAGUGUUUAAAGCAGGCAUUAGCUUGAAUACAUUAGCAUGGAAUAAUGAAAUAGGACGUUCGAUCCUAUUUUGUUGGUUUCUAGGAUCAACGUAAUGAUUAAUAGGGAUAGUUGGGGGCAUUAGUAUUCAAUUGUCAGAGGUGAAAUUCUUGGAUUUAUUGAAGACUAACUACUGCGAAAGCAUUUGCCAAGGAUGUUUUCAUUAAUCAAGAACGAAAGUUAGGGGAUCGAAGACGAUCAGAUACCGUCGUAGUCUUAACCAUAAACUAUGCCGACUAGGGAUCGGAUGAUGUUAAUUUUUUAAUGACUCAUUCGGCGCCUUACGGGAAACCAAAGUGUUU
rnacentral:rRNA from 1 species